GGCACGGUGGUGCAGUGGGUAGCACUGUCGCCUCACAACAAGAAGGUUGUGGGUUCGAAUCUCAGCUUUUGGCC
rnacentral:tRNA from 1 species